AUGUUCCCACUAAUUGUGAUGAAAGGGAGGAGAGGAAAGGAAGAGAGGAAGCCUAGAUACAAUAAGGAAUUGUCCAUGGUUCCUGGAUGCCACAAAACAGAAGUGGGGACCUGCAGUUAUUGGCCAGGAAAGAUGAGGAAACUGAGAGCCAGGAGGGCUAAGGUCUCCAUCUGCCCUGGGUCACUCAAUCAAUGGAGUGGCAGAACCAUCAUUUGA
rnacentral:lncRNA from 1 species